rnacentral:rRNA from 1 species
UUUCUAGCUUGCUAGAAGAUGACGAGUGGCGGACGGGUGAGUAAUGCUUGGGAACUUGCCUUUGCGAGGGGGAUACAGUUGGAAACGACUGCUAAUACCGCAUAAUGUCUUCGGACCAAACGGGGCUUCGGCUCCGGCGCAAAGAGAGGCCCAAGUGAGAUUAGCUAGUUGGUAAGGUAACGGCUUACCAAGGCGACGAUCUCUAGCUGUUCUGAGAGGAAGAUCAGCCACACUGGGACUGAGACACGGCCCAGACUCCUACGGGAGGCAGCAGUGGGGAAUAUUGCACAAUGGGGGAAACCCUGAUGCAGCCAUGCCGCGUGUGUGAAGAAGGCCUUCGGGUUGUAAAGCACUUUCAGUUGUGAGGAAAAGUUAGUAGUUAAUACCUGCUAGCCGUGACGUUAACAACAGAAGAAGCACCGGCUAACUCCGUGCCAGCAGCCGCGGUAAUACGGAGGGUGCGAGCGUUAAUCGGAAUUACUGGGCGUAAAGCGCACGCAGGCGGUUUGUUAAGCUAGAUGUGAAAGCCCCGGGCUCAACCUGGGAUGGUCAUUUAGAACUGGCAGACUAGAGUCUUGGAGAGGGGAGUGGAAUUCCAGAUGUAGCGGUGAAAUGCGUAGAUAUCUGGAGGAACAUCAGUGGCGAAGGCGACUCCCUGGCCAAAGACUGACGCUCAUGUGCGAAAGUGUGGGUAGCGAACAGGAUUAGAUACCCUGGUAGUCCACACCGUGAACGCUGUCUACUAGCUGUGUGUGCCUUU